GCGAAUAAGCGCACACGGUGGAUGCCUUGGCGGUCAGAGGCGAUGAAGGACGUGGUAGCCUGCGAAAAGUGUCGGGGAGCUGGCAACAAGCUUUGAUCCGGCAAUGUCCGAAUGGGGAAACCCACCUCCUAGGAGGUAUCGUGCAGUGAAUACAUAGCUGUACGAGGCGAACGCGGUGAACUGAAAUAUCUAAGUAACCGUAGGAAAAGAAAUCAACCGAGAUUCCCUGAGUAGUGACGAGCGAACGGGGAACAGCCCAAAAGUCGAUAUGGUUCUAGCAAAACGGUCCUGGAAAGACCGGCCAUAGAAGGUGAUAGCCCUGUAUGCGAAAGGGCCAUAUCGAUGAAAAAUGAGUAGGGCGGGGCACGAGAAACCCUGUCUGAACAUGGGGGGACCAUCCUCCAAGGCUAAAUACUCCUGACCGACCGAUAGUGAACCAGUACCGUGAGGGAAAGGCGAAAAGAACCCCGGAGAGGGGAGUGAAAUAGAUCCUGAAACCGUGUGCGUACAAGCAGUAGGAGCUCCGCAAGGAGUGACUGCGUACCUUUUGUAUAAUGGGUCAGCGACUUACUGUUCGUGGCAAGCUUAACCGUAUAGGGGAGGCGAAGGGAAACCGAGUCUGAUAAGGGCGCAUAGUCGCGGGCAGUAGACCCGAAACCGGGUGAUCUAGUCAUGCCCAGGGUGAAGGUGCGGUAACACGCACUGGAGGCCCGAACCCACUCCCGUUGCAAAGGUAGGGGAUGAGGUGUGAUUAGGAGUGAAAAGCUAAUCGAACCCGGAGAUAGCUGGUUCUCCUCGAAAGCUAUUUAGGUAGCGCCUCAUGUGAAUCUUCCUGGGGGUAGAGCACUGUUAUGGCUAGGGGGUCAUUGCGACUUACCAAACCAUUGCAAACUCCGAAUACCAGGACAGACUGCAUGGGAGACACACGGCGGGUGCUAACGUCCGUCGUGAAAAGGGAAACAACCCAGACCCACAGCUAAGGUCCCAAAUUCACUGCUAAGUGGAAAACCAUGUGGAAAGGCACAGACAGCCAGGAGGUUGGCUUAGAAGCAGCCACCCUUUAAAGAAAGCGUAAUAGCUCACUGGUCGAGUCGGUCUGCGGGGAAGAUUUAACGGGGCUAAGCAGUGAACCGAAGCUUGGGGUGCAUAACUUUGUUAUGCGCGGUAGAGGAGCGUUCCGUAAGCCGUUGAAGGUGGAUUGAGAAGUCUGCUGGAGGUAUCGGAAGUGCGAAUGCUGACAUGAGUAACGAUAAUGCGGGUGAAAAGCCCGCACGCCGAAAGCCCAAGGUUUCCUUGCGCAACGUUAAUCGACGCAGGGUGAGUCGGCCCCUAAGGCGAGGCAGAAAUGCGUAGUCGAUGGGAAGCUGGUUAAUAUUCCAGCACCUCGCAUAAGUGCGAUGGGGGGACGGAGAAGGUUAGGUGUACCGGGCGUUGGUUGUCCCGGGGAAAGGCGGUAGGUUUGGAUCUUUGGCAAAUCCGGGAUCCUUUAAGACCGAGCACCGAGACGAGUCUUUAAGACGAAGUCACUGAUACCACGCUUCCAGGAAAAGCUCCUAAGCUUCAGCUUACGCAGACCGUACCGUAAACCGACACAGGUGGGUAGGAUGAGAAUUCUCAGGCGCUUGAGAGAACUCGGGUGAAGGAACUAGGCAACAUGGCACCGUAACUUCGGGAGAAGGUGCACCCUUUUUGGUGGCUCGUGCGAGCUAUAGCUGAAGAGGGUCGCAGUAACCAGGCCGCUGCGACUGUUUAUCAAAAACACAGCACUCUGCAAACACGAAAGUGGACGUAUAGGGUGUGACGCCUGCCCGGUGCCGGAAGGUUAAUUGAUGGGGUUAGCUAACGCGAAGCUCUUGAUCGAAGCCCCGGUAAACGGCGGCCGUAACUAUAACGGUCCUAAGGUAGCGAAAUUCCUUGUCGGGUAAGUUCCGACCUGCACGAAUGGCGUAACGAUGGCGGCGCUGUCUCCACCCGAGACUCAGUGAAAUUGAAAUCGCUGUGAAGAUGCAG
rnacentral:rRNA from 1 species